rnacentral:rRNA from 1 species
AUUGAUUUACAACAACCCGCGCCAGGGAAUUACGAGCGAUGCUUAAAACCCAAAGGACUUGACGGUGUCCCGCCCACCUAGAGGAGCCUGUUUUGUAAUCGAUGAUCCCCGCUACACCCUACCAUUUUUAGCUCUUCAGUCUGUAUACCUCCGUCGAAAGCCUACCAUGUGAACGUUGUUUAGUAGGCCUAAGGGUCUCCCCCCCACUAUGUCAGGUCAAGGUGCAGCUCACAAAAUGGAAGCUAAUGGGCUACAAUUUCUAACUUAGAACAAACGGAAUACUAUGUGAAAUCAUAGUCAUGAAGGCGGAUUUAGUAGUAAAAAGAAAAUAGAGAGUUCUUUUUAACCCGGCUCUGGGACGUGUACAAACCGCCCGUCACCCUCUUCGAUAAAACUGAACUAGUCUAUAACCCAACCACCACACCUUAGAGGAGGCAAGUCGUAACAUGGUAAGUGUACUGGAAGGUGCACUUGGUCUACCUCAUAAUGUAGCUUAACUAAAGCCACUUGCUUACACCAAGUAAAUGUCCGUUCAACCCAGACCAUUCUGAGCUAAAAAUUUAGCCCGCGUAACCCCAAUGCCCCCCUCAACCUAUUAAACCCCAAACAAAACAUUCUACCAUUUUAGUACAGGAGAUCAAAAAAUUACUAGGCGCUUCAAAUAUAGUACCGAAAGGGAAAAAUGAAAUAAAAAUGAAAUAAAUCUUAAGCCCAACAUAGCAGAGA